AUUGAACGCUAGCGGUAUGCCUUACACAUGCAAGUCGACCGGAGUGGCGAACGGGUGAGUAAUGUAUCGGAACGUGCCCAGUAGCGGGGGAUAACUACGCGAAAGCGUCGCUAAUACCGCAUACUAUUGGAGCGGCCGAUAUCGGAUUAGCUAGUUGGUGGGGUAACGGCCCACCAAGGCGACGAUCCGUAGCUGGUUUGAGAGGACGAUCAGCCACACUGGGACUGAGACACGGCCCAGACUCCUACGGGAGGCAGCAGUGGGGAAUAUUGGACAAUGGGGGAAACCCUGAUGCAGCCAUCCCGCGUGUAUGAUGAAGGCCUUCGGGUUGUAAAGUACUUUCGGCCGGAAAGCGGUACCGGCAGAAGAAGCACCGGCUAACUACGUGCCAGCCGCCGCGGUAAUAC
rnacentral:rRNA from 1 species